rnacentral:lncRNA from 1 species
GCAGCGGAAGGAGGAGCACGUCCCCUUGGACCAGGCUGCGGUACCGGAGUCCGUUGGCAGGUGCGCCCCUGGCCUCAUUCUCUCUCUCGAACGCUCAUCCAGGGCAGCUUGCACAUGAGAAGUCCAGGGGACACCGACGCUGGAUUGGUUUCAAGUGUGUCUCUGACAUGGCACAGGAGUCCAUGAUGUGUCUAAUAUAUUUGGACUUUUGUCAGGUAGGCGGUGAUCAGCUGGACCUGGAGGACUUGUGUUCCAAAGAUCAAUGGUGCAUUCUAGAUCUAAUGGAGGAUGUGGUGAGUGAGAUAAUUAGUAGUAUUCUGUAGAAGGCAGUGUACAUAGAUUGUAACUGUAUUGAGUUUUGUGUUGUCACUGCAGCUCGUUUAGCGGGAGAUGAGUCGCGUGAUGCUGCAGGUCGCGUGGGAGGAGAACAAGCAUCAGAGGUGCGUCUCUUUCUCUGAUGAGUGCAGUAUGGAAACCAGGGUCAAACAUUUUUCUCACAUGGACAAUUGUGGAAAAUGUUCAGGUGUUUCUGAAAGAUGUCACGGAAUUAAGUUUGCAAGUGGGGUUCGUUAGACACAGGUGGAAGGCGAAAUGGGAGAUAAAUUCCCGAAGAAGGCUGGAUUAAAGCAUGAAGAGCUAAAUGCUCGAGACGUGCUCACCUUCUGUGAUAAUAUGCUAUCAUGUACUGGCAGGGAGUUUAGCAAGUAGGUGCUCCACAAUUAAAAAUUCGGCGGGUAGACUUCAUCAUGGGACCUGGUAUGUGCGCCUGUUGGUGGAAGCUCCAGAUCAGGGUAAAGGCGCCUCCUCACAUGUUUGUGUUUGUGCUGAAUUGUUAUUUAUAAUGCUGUCAAGUCGGGGAUCUUGUGCUUCUCGUUGCUAGAAAUUGUGUUGAAGCUGCAGAUUCGACUGUCGUUGUUACAAAUUUAGUCGCGGGUUAUAAAUUUGGACUGAGAUGUUCGUUGGUAUGGUUAAGUGAUGAUUCGAGGGUUAUGCUUUACACUCAGUUUGGCAUUGGCAUGGAAUUGUUUCUGUUGUUGAUUUCUUGCAUGUAGUCACAGUUGUGUAACUUACGGAAGAGUGGUCUCACGCUUAUUUUGAUGUU